CGUUCGCGGCUGGACUAUUUAUUACCCUUGUCUUUUGCGCACUUGUUGUUUCCUGGGCGGGUUCGCUCGCCACCAGGACCACAAUAUAAACCUUUUUUAUGCAGUUGCAAUCAGCGUCAGUAUAACAAAUGUAAAUCAUUUACAACUUUCAACAACGGAUCUCUUGGUUCUGGCAUCGAUGAAGAACGCAGCGAAAUGCGAUACGUAGUGUGAAUUGCAGAAUUCAGUGAAUCAUCGAAUCUUUGAACGCACAUUGCGCCCUUUGGUAUUCCAAAGGGCAUGCCUGUUCGAGCGUCAUUUGUACCCUCAAGCUUUGCUUGGUGUUGGGCGUUUUUGUCUUUGGCCCGCCAAAGACUCGCCUUAAAAUGAUUGGCAGCCGGCCUACUGGUUUCGCAGCGCAUCACAUUUUUGCGCUUGCAAUCAGCAAAAGAGGACGGCAAUCCAUCAAGACUCCUUCUCACGUUUCACCUCGGAUCAGGUAGGGAUACCCGCUGAACUUAAGCAUAUCAAUAAGCGGAGGAAAA
rnacentral:rRNA from 1 species